CAAAGACAGCCGGAAACACACAACACAGCUCAAGCACAUAACACAGUCUACGUGCAUAAUUGCAAUAUGUGGAUUUAAAGUAUUUGCCUAUAAGGGGGUCAGUCUCCUCAGGUAGAGCGAGUAACACUCCAGGUAUAAAAGACAAGGAAGGUGAGAGCUUCAAGAUUCUGGACUGGACUGUGAUGAUUUGCAUGGCAUUAAAGUACCUACAUGAUUCAAAUAUCUUCCAUAACAACCUGCAG